UAUCGAGUAUAGCUUAGCAAACUAUACACUUGCCGCCAUGGCUGAACACUAUGUAGCCUGAGUACAGGAUGACCGACCAGUAAGAGUGUUCAUAAGUCCCCCAG
rnacentral:ncRNA from 1 species